AGAGUUUGAUCCUGGCUCAGGAUGAACGCUAGCGACAGGCUUAACACAUGCAAGUCGAGGGGCAGCGGGGGAGUAGCAAUACUCCCGCCGGCGACCGGCGCACGGGUGAGUAACACGUAUGAAACCUGCCCGUAGCAGGGGGAUAAGCGGAAGAAAUUCCGUCUAAUACCGCGUAACAACCCUUGGAGGCAUCUCCUCGGGUUUAAAGGAAGCGAUUCCGGCUACGGAUGGUCAUGCGUCGCAUUAGCUAGUUGGCGGGGUAACGGCCCACCAAGGCGACGAUGCGUAGGGGUUCUGAGAGGAAGGUCCCCCACACUGGUACUGAGACACGGACCAGACUCCUACGGGAGACAGCAGUGAGGAAUAUUGGUCAAUGGCCGCAGGGCUGAACCAGCCAAGUCGCGUGAGGGAUGACGGUCCUAUGGAUUGUAAACCUCUUUUGUCAGGGAGCAAAGGGCGUCACGUGUGGCGUUUUGCGAGUACCUGAAGAAAAAGCAUCGGCUAACUCCGUGCCAGCAGCCGCGGUAAUACGGAGGAUGCGAGCGUUAUCCGGAUUUAUUGGGUUUAAAGGGUGCGCAGGCGGAAUGUCAAGUCAGCGGUAAAAUUUCGGGGCUCAACCCCGUCGUGCCGUUGAAACUGGCGUUCUUGAGUGAGCGAGAAGUAUGCGGAAUGCGUGGUGUAGCGGUGAAAUGCAUAGAUAUCACGCAGAACUCCGAUUGCGAAGGCAGCAUACCGGCGCUCAACUGACGCUCAUGCACGAAAGCGUGGGUAUCGAACAGGAUUAGAUACCCUGGUAGUCCACGCAGUAAACGAUGAAUACUAACUGUCCGGGCAGAAUGAUGUCUGGGUGGUACAGCGAAAGCGUUAAGUAUUCCACCUGGGGAGUACGCCGGCAACGGUGAAACUCAAAGGAAUUGACGGGGGCCCGCACAAGCGGAGGAACAUGUGGUUUAAUUCGAUGAUACGCGAGGAACCUUACCCGGGCUCAAACGACGGAUGGAUGUUUCUGAAAGGAGGCAGUCCUACGGGACAUCCGUCGAGGUGCUGCAUGGUUGUCGUCAGCUCGUGCCGUGAGGUGUCGGCUUAAGUGCCAUAACGAGCGCAACCCCCAUCGCCAGUUACCAGCAAGUAAAGUUGGGGACUCUGGCGAGACUGCCGGCGCAAGCUGUGAGGAAGGCGGGGAUGACGUCAAAUCAGCGCGGCCCUUACGUCCGGGGCGACACACGUGUUACAAUGGCAGGUACAGAGAGAUGCGAUGCGGCGACGCAGAGCGGAACUUCAAAGCCUGUCUCAGUUCGGAUUGGAGUCUGCAACCCGACUCCAUGAAGCUGGAUUCGCUAGUAAUCGCGCAUCAGCCACGGCGCGGUGAAUACGUUCCCGGGCCUUGCACUCAC
rnacentral:rRNA from 1 species